AUGUAACUUAAGAUGUAAUAAACUAAUUAUUUAGAAAAUACUUAUUGAUGACUAUGGAAACAAAUAAAUCAUCAUCAUGUGCAAGACUAUCAACAUAUACUAUAAAUGUGAUGUUGACACGGUUUUUGAUGCUCGAUCCAAAAUGGUUACAAAAAGAUAGAUUAUGGAGAAAAAAUGGUGCAGCAAAAUAGUGGAGCUCUGAAAAUUUAGGAGAAUCAUCAUAUGUUUUAUAAGCAGAAGGAAAACUUCUUAUGAUGACAAUCAAUGAUACGAAAUUCAAAAGUUCCAAUAUAUUAUUUUUGAAGAGUGGGGGGGGGGAGGGGGGGGGGGGGGUAGUAUUGCCAAGUUUUAAUGAAAAAAAUAAAUAAAUUGUGAACACAUAGUCUAUCAAUGCAAACUCUUUGAAAAUAUUUUUUGAUACAUAUAUUUCUUAAGAAGUUCUAUAUGUGAGGUAGAACAAAUUGAUGUUUCAACAAAGUCGCUCAUUGUCUUGCAAAGAAGAGUCUUCCAAAUUCUUCAUUUUAUUCAGUUUGUUGUGAUCUUCUUAUUUUGUUAGUAAACUUGCAAGUUUUACUUAUAACAAUCUUUCAAUAAGCUAAACACACACAUUUACUUAUUUAUUUAGCAUCUUACAUUCAAAAGUCUAUAUGCAUAACUCAAAAACUUUCUAGUUAAACAUUUUUAUUCUAUAGUGUUUGACUUCCUUACAAGAAACUAAAAACCCCUUUAUUUCGAAAACUUUAUUUCUAUUGGGUUAAGCACAUACAAUGCUUCUCCAUACUUAUUUAUACUCAAUAGGUCGUGGCUGACCUUCUACAAACAUUAGGACGAGAAUACACUACAACCAUGUCAGUAAAUACAAGAAAAUGAUUGAUAAACCUCUUCAAUUGUCUUCUUCAUGUUCUUCUUUUGAUGACGCUCACACCUUUUUGCAUUAUGUUCCGUCUCAGCACACUUUGAGCAAAGCACUGUGCACCACGCCCUUCCAAGUUUUUUAACCCUCUUCUUUUUCUUCUUAGUUGAUUCAUGUUUGCCAUUGUUCCUCUACGAUGCUCCCUGUCGCUCUUCCCAAGACUCCGGUGACUCUUCCCUGGCUUUAGUUUCCUCCGCAGCUCAGCCGUCUCCGCACCGCGACUCUAUGCCGGGGGCCACCGCUUCAAACUUUCCGACCAUAAUUUUCUUCUGCUUUUGGAAUCCUGAUGUUGAGGGCUACUGAUUCACGAUGUCAGUGUUUGUGUGGGGUGUUUCAUCUGUGCUAGAUCUUGGAUCUAAAGUUCUUCACGGGAGACUUUUACUGAAAUUUUUCUGCGCUUCCUCGUCGCUGGGUUUAUACUGUCGAUUACAGUUCCUACCUCAUAUCUGAGGCUUAUGCUUGCUCUCUUAACCACGAGCCUCUCCUCCGCUGAUGCCGACGCCUCGCGUUCCUUCCCGAAGCUUUUCCCCUUCCCUGUCAAUGGAGUCUCCUGAAACUGUUUCAUCUGGUUUUCCUCCCCUGCCGACUGAGCCACCAGAUCCGGAUCUCGACGUGAUGCUUCCAGUGAAUCCUCCUGUCCCUCCAGUCCCUCCCGACCCUCCACCAGUUCUCCUAGAUUGUGCGUUUCUCCACCAUAUCUCGUCGUCCUUUACCACUCCUCACCAUCAGAGAUAUCAGGAAGCUCCGAUGCCAUGGUUUCUCUGUGCUUCUACCGGUUUCUCGCUCAAGCUUCUCUGCUCAGAUGCAUGUAUACUAUCUGUUCAGUCUUUGUGGAUGAAUCCUUUACUGGCUGAAGUCGCUCUUUCCAGCUCUCUCACCACUAGCCAGGUCUCCUCCUUCUUCCAACUAAUUCCGGUGUCAAAGCUGAGAAACUUGGUCGCUUGUGUGGAACAUGAUUCGUUAAAGUCACCCUUACGAGAUUUGCCUUAUUAUCAUCAAGUUGAGAUAUUAGUUGCAAGGUUUUUGGGGUUACUGACAACUGAUUGCAAGCUUACCUUCUUUCAUGGCUCAUCAUUUCAAGUCCUUGAGGACUGGACUUCGAAAGUUGAAAUAUUGGUGGGGGUGAGUAUUCUGUAUGCAGUUGUUAUUACCUCAGCGCAAUCUUUUGGAGUGCAGUUCUCUAUUGCUAUUUGCAGUUCUAAGUCAAUGCAUAUCCUUCAUUUGAAACUUUGGUUACAUGUUGUUGGACCCAUCUCCCCUUGCUUCCGGCUGUAGCAAGAGAUUAUGCUGCUUUUGAAUGGAUCUUUACCUCGUAGUGAGGAUGUUACAAACCCUUUGAGCUUCAGGUUUAAGCUCCCUUUCCCUCAGUAUGAGGAUGCUACUCUUUAUAGAACCAGGUUAUUACCUCAUUGUGAGGCUGUUAUCUGGACUUCUGUCUUUGUGGCUAUGGAUUUUGUUGGAUCAGGCUUGUCUAUUUGGCGAUGGUGUUUCACCUCACAACAACCAAUCUUUUGGAAGAGGAGUUUGGUAGCCUCUGAGUUGGUUGGGAACUUCUCGCAUUGUUCGGCUAAUGGAACGUGGAUUGUGAGUUCUGCAUUACAAGCCAAUGAUGGAAUGCUUCAGGAAGCUCCUCACUCAACAUUAUCAUUUGGACCUUCAAGCCUUCAGAUUCUUUCGGACUUUAUCGUCCCCUUCUCUGCCCUGCGCACAGGGUUGGAUUUGAUUGAGAUUACAGGUUACUUUGUCAGGAACCUUGUCCCUCUCGACAUUCCGCUAUCAUGCUCUUUUAAUCUUUGCAAUAUCUUCGUUUUAGUUGUUGUUGUUUAUGCUAUGGGUGCUGUCCCCAAACUUUGAGAACACUGUUUUGAGUUUAUGAAAUGAAACCGUUGACAAAAAAAAAGUUGAUUCAUGUUUGCCUUACAUUUUAGGGAACUUCUUUAGAUUUUUCUUUUUCUUUCUCCCAGAUAAUUCAGGUUAUGGAGGAGCAGCUAUCAGUGGUAAACUUGAAUGCAUACCGAGACACUCCUGGUCCUCUAACUAGCUCAAUGUUUGUGUUGUAAAUUUACCUGCUAUAUAAGUGUUCUUAAGAAUCUCGAGACAUAAUGAUCAACAUUCAAACCAUCAUUGAUCAUUGCUCCAUAGGCAUUUUCACAAAGACCUCCACUGAUACGCAAUUUUCCACAUGAACAUGUAUGCCUUAUAAUGUUGACACUAUAUGAAUUUCUAUCAUAGCUUACUUCAAAACUAGAGAAAUUCUACAAUCAUCAGUGAUCUUCAUCUCCUCUGCAAGUAAUUUUACUACAUACUUCAUACACAAUCCUUCAUGCUUAUUUGAUGUUAUGUGUCUUUUUGCUAUGUCAUAUCACUUGAAAUACCCUAAGGAGUGACUUUACUCUCUCAAAUAAGAAGUUCAGUUGUAGUACUUAAGGAUCGAAUCCACAUGGAGCAUGGGCACACAAUAAACUCAAUACAGUCGCGAUUAAGCUAGGUAAACAAGUAUGAAAGCAGUAAAUAAAGUAAACAUGAUGAACAAGGUAAUUGUUUAGUUGAUUAAUGAGUUCUUUGAUGGAAUGAGGGUUGCUAGACUUAAGGUUUCAGGUAUCAUGAUUAUAAUGAUAUAGAUGCUAAUGUUAUCAAUCCUAGAACUCAAAUUCUAAUGAGAAAGUAUUCAGCUUCCGCGUGCGAAUAAAUCCUAUUGACUAAGUCCAAUAUCUCAGCUGUCACUUGUUGAUAUGGUUCGAGUGUCAAUCAAUGCUAUGAGAUUAGCGUCGAUCGAUAUUUAACUAGACAAGUUUUAUCAAGCCGUUCAAUAGGUUCACUAGUAUUAACUAAAUUAGUUGUCAUUUAUUUCUAGCAAUCCUAGCUCAAGAGAAUUAAUUUAGGUAAAAGACCAUGUCGUCGCGUACGUCUAAUUAUCCUAAUUUCAGUGUUCUAGUUAGCUACUCUAGAACACAAGCGUUACAAACAAUUAUUUGAAGGAAAUCUUAUCACCUUAGCGUAUCUAUAGUUUGGGCUAAUCCCUCAUAAUCUUACUUUAAACCCUAAAUCUAAUAGAGAUCUAUUUAAACAUGAUAGUUGUCACAAAAAACCAUUGAUGAAUAUAUAUAAAAUAGAAAGCAAUAUGAAAACCAAAGGAGUUAGUUCCAAGAGGACUCUGAAGGAGUUCCUCUCUUUUCUCUUACAUAAAAGUAAGAACAAAGAAUAGAAUAAAGCGUAGCCGUCAAUAAUGGCAUAAAAAACACUUAAAUAGGAUUUUAGAUCGUCCAGACGCAUUCUGGUAAUUUGCGAUAACUUCUGGGCUUAAAUCGAUCAUGAAAUAGGCCCAACCCGUCUUCUGGGGUUACCGUCGAUUGACACCAAGUGUCUGUUGUCGAUCGACAUUUCUUCAUCUCCUCGACAACUUUCUCCGGCGAGGCAGACAUACCACUCUUCAGUAAAUCAGGCAUAACAUCUGCUGUAGGAUGUUGAUUGACCUUAAACCGGUGGCAUUGGAAAGCUAACUCAAAGCUCUAUUGUUUGUAAAAAGAUGAGCCCAAUCUCACUGUGGAAAUAUCUCCAUCCAUAGCUAAAUAUCUGACGCGUCUGUGUAGUUCUGCACUUCAAAAGGCUCCAAAAUCACCAAAGUUCUCUAAAACUUACUUAAACCUGAAAACACUCUAAAACAUACUCUAAACAUAAUUAAUAGACCUUAAAAACACAUAUACCAUGGUCUAAAAGUGGUAAAAUCCAUGGUAUAUCAAUUCCCCCAGACUUAUCCUUUUGCUUGUCAUCAAGCAAAACACAGAGUAGUCUUAUAAAAGAGGUUUGAAAGCAACAGAGACUCACACUAUGAAAAGAAACAUUUUCAUAUGAAAAAAGUAAAUUCUUUAAGUUUCAAUAUCAUUUCUAAUACACCACAAGGUUUAUCUUUAUCAUCCAGACUCAUCUAUACUUUUGUUCUACGUCAUCAACUUCACAAUUUUCCACGGGUACCUAGAGAAAUUCUACAAUCAUCAGGGAUCUGCUUCUUCACUACAAAUAUUUUUACUACAUACUUCAUACACAAUCCUUCAUGUCUAUUUGAUGUUAUGUGUCUUUCUGCUAUGCGAUCCAUUGCAUGUCUUCUUAUCAUCUCCAACAUUUUCACUGUUGCCUUGGCUCUUGCUUCCGUGAUAGUGAAGUUAAAGGACUAUGUUGCAUUGCUGUCAACAUUUCACAGCAGCCUCCAAUUCUAUAAAAUGGUCGAGAACAAGUAUGCGGCUUCUGUUUCAUGACAUCAUUGUACCAAGCCAAGUUGUAUGCCUUCAACUUAGCUAGGUUGUAGAUCUAUCUAUGUGCAGCUCCUAACAAUGUCCCAAAUCAUCUGUUUUAGUAAAAUAUUCUUGGCAUGAAUCUUCUUCAAGUUUUCAUGAUGUGUUUAACACACUUUCUAUGCUCAGCAUUCAGUAACUCUGCCUCCACAGCAGUUUAAGUCCCUUAGAUAUCCGAAAGCAAAACAAACCAUUGCCAUCUAGAAUAACUAAACCUCUCUUGAUUUGUUGGAUGAACCAUAUCUAAUUAUCUGUAGUCUCAGAUUGCACCACUACCCAAGCAAUAGGAUAAAUCUGAUUGUUUGCUUCAUGCCCAAUUUCAGUUAGAAACACCCCUUUUACAACAACUUUCAAGAAGGUACCAUCAACUCUAGUGAUUGGUCUAUACCCUCUCCAUGUGUCUGAAAUAAUCCCAAAGCAUGCUCAAAUUAACCUAAAGAAACUCUCUCAAAUAAGAGCGUCAUCAUAGUACAUAAGCGCAUGUAAGAAUAUGAAAUUCAAGCUAUGUCAAUUAUCCUGUAAUUUCGUAUAAUUGUGUUCGUAGUUGCCAUGUUUAAUACCUGCAAAAUCAUUGUAUUUGGAGAUGUAGAUGAGUUACCUAGAAGAAUGGUCCCUUCUCGACAUAGAUCAUUCAAAUUCUUUGUAAGGAGCAACUGAAGCCUUGAAAGCCAGCACGCUUCGUUUUCCAAUUAUUGGGAAAGCUGUGGUGAGUGUUUGCUUUGACUUACUUUGUAUCAUUAGAGUCCGUUUUCAGAAUGUUUUUAUUAUGAUUUUUGUGUUGUUAGGUUGAUAUAUCAAGCAUAUUGUUAGUUAAGCUGUUGAUGUCGUGCACGGUCUGGCGUCUUCCAUAUUCUCGCUGAUAACAAAGGUAAAUUUCGAUUUUAUGAAGCUUAUCCUCUUAUCGUUUCUCUGUAGCCGCAACAUACUCUCCAUGUGUACAUACUGCAGUGGAGUUGGUUUUCAUGAGAGUUCAGAGAUGCAAACAAUUAUCAUAAUAAUUAUUAUUAGAUAUAAAGUGGAAACUACGUGUUAGUCAUUCUUAUAUGCAUAUGUCCAGAAGCUGAAGGCUGAAUUGUUUCAAGCAUUAGUUACUGGCUGUUACUCUGGUGUUUUGUGGACCUUAUCUAAAUGCAUGUUUUUUUUAAUUGUUUGUUGUCAUUGGUAACUAGAUGAAAUUAUAAUUAAUUCAGUAAUGACAGAAAUAAUGAAUAUCAGUCUUGCUCAAACAAUGUCAAGGACUCUUAUCAAUACUAGCAGCUAUGCAGGUUAAAGAUUGAUCUCUCUUCUCUCGGUUUUUUUUUCCCUUAUACAUUUUUCUUCUUGAUCAAGUUUUUAUAAGUAAAUCAAAGCCUCUUUAUAGGUUAAAAACUAUAGCAUGAAGACGCACAUAAAACAACUAAGCUGGAAACUGACUUCACAACUGUAGAAACUGAUGGGUUUUCCAUGACUUUUGAUUUCCUAAGCUUUGUUUCAAGUUAUUGAAUUUCAAUAAUUAAUACCCGUUAGCACAAGUACCUGGUUUUUUUUUGUGCACACACAAGUAGCCGGCAUAGCUUAGUUUUUAAAAGCUUAACAUAGGAGCCUCAUCAGAUAUACCUUAUUAAAUAUUAUAACUACUAGAAUGUAACGAACAUGUGUAUAUUCUAAAAUAACAGCCUCACAAAUCUGGUAUUAAACAGCAUAUCUCUGCAACAAAAUAAGUUAAAAAUUCAGAGAUUACUUGACUAUCAAGCAAUUACUAACACCAUCCAAACAUAAGAAAAUAUCAUUCAACAAUCUAAGUUUCCACUACAAACGGUGUGCGGUACAAAAAGGUUCAUACACGUUUCAAAAACCCAAAUAAUAACACUUUAACAAAGUACAAAACACAAAACUUGGAGAAGUUUUCUAGUACAAUAUCAUAUCGUUUUCUGAGACCACAAUGCAAUAAUGAAGAGGCAAACUCAAGCAAAAAUCAAAAAGAAAAUCAGGUUUAAUGAUUUGUCAGAAUCUUUCACAGACCAGCAAAGAGAAUUUAAAUAGACCAAAACUUCCAUUUUUCAAGCUCCAUGCCAUCUGGUUGAAUGGUCUCCACUUCCUUAGUCUCAACCUCUUUCCAGUUUGGAUAGCACCGUCCUGUUCGACUCUUCCUGUCAAACCAAAACCACUCAAAAAGGUACAUCUUUAGUCAAAAGAAUAAAUAAUAAGUUAAUAAACCAAAAGAGAGAUUGAUCAGCUCACAAAUGGGAUUGAUGCGACCAGUGGCGGGGUACAGAUGUGUUAUCUAAAAACAUUCACAACCACCAAGGAGAUGCCAUCUAAAUAACAUCAGUGAUUUGAUACAUUCUAACAAUGUUUUCUAAAGUGUUUUUAAGUCUUUAUCGAGUCUUCCUAGUCCUUUUCGAGUCAUUACAGGUCUGGAGCUGCAUUGGAUGGGAGAUGGACCAGCUGGAACAAAAGAGGCAGAAAAGAGUGCAAUUUGGUGAUUUUCACGCAGUACAGUCUUGAUGGUUUCCAACCAUGCAGAACACCCCGAGUGCAUAUUCCAGUGGCAGAGAUUUUUAAGGAAGUUUCCAAAUAUUUCGGGAUUUUACCUAGGGCUUUCCCUUUUUUCUCCUUGAGACCUGCAAAUAUAUCUUUUCUUAUUUUUUUAGACAUUCUACAUUACUUUUUAAAGAGAUUUUGGAGAGAGAAAACUUGUACUCUUGUUAAGGAAGAAGAAUGUUUACAUUCUUUGGAGAAGAUUUCUAAAUCCUGUUUGCUUUUUAUUAUUGAUUCAAACAUGUUUUCUUCAUCUGUUAUCUCUAUGUUUUCUCUGUCCAUGGCUGAGUAAUCCACUUGCUUAGUCUAGGGUGUUAGGGUGUUAGAUCUGUGAGCUAAGCAUAAAUAAGUUAAUCAUUCAAUUGUCUUCAUUCAUAACUGUUCUUAUUGCUUGCAUUAAACUGGCCAGUUAUUGUUAGAUCCUAGGUUUAACUGAUUCAUUAACCGUGUAAUAGGUUGCUAGAUCUGUUUUGAAUGAGCAUCGCAUCACAUCCCUAAUCAGCGAAAGUACAUAUUAUGGUGUUUUGUGAACAUAUCGGACUUGAUCUCUAUUGCUUGUUGCGGGUCUUGAUCCAAACGAGAGUUUAGGUAUCAAGAUCGAUUAGCAUAGAGAGCAGUACCACGACAGUGGACUGUUCUACUACUUGAGUGAUCCGAGUUCUAAACUUUCUCUUAUUUGAACGUCAAUAAUUGUUUGGCUCACACUUGUGUGGGAACCGAAAUUCGCAAUGUCGAUUUCCGUUUAAAUAAGGAAAGUAGGAGAACCCUAAUUUCCCAAAGGUCCCGGAUAUCUGCUAAUGCCACACGCCAAGCAAUCGGAACACGGAAUAAAGACGAGAAAAUAUAAUAAAUCAAAAAGAGAGCAAAGUAGAUCUUAUUCUGAAUUCGCGUUUGAGCGUUACAACAAGCUAAGAGCCUGGGCUACAAGAGCUGUCGGCAAGAUUCCUAGUUCUAAAACCCUAAGACGACAACAACCUAAUUGAGUCGCAGCUCGAAUAACAAAAACGGAAAAUUGCUUAAACUGCUCUAAGUGCUAAGUUUGUUGUGAAAAAGUUCUCUCCUUGUGCCUCUCAUCUAGGACUCCUUAUAUACUCGCUCCCAGGUCGGUCUACGCUUUUUCCCUUCAGCCUUUAAGCCGUCAUAGCUUAAAAAUGGAGACAUUCCAUUUUCCCGAUCUUCGUAAUUAUCUUCGAAAACUUCGUAUUUAUCCGCGGAAACUUGACAUUUAUCUUUCCUUGCGAACCAAACAUAUACCGUCCUACGGUUUACGGGCUUUUGGUUAAAAAUCGUAAGUGGGCUUCGAGUUACGUCUUAGGUCUCUUUGGGCCGUCUUUUGACUCGAAAUGUUUAUUACAUCUUCUUUCGAUAAAAACGAACUUUCUGCGGUUUUUAUCGUAAAGUUCAAUUGAUGACUUCAAAUGACGAGAACAUGAAAUAGGUUUGCUAUGGCCUUCAGACGAUAGAAUUAAAGAGAAGACGAGAAUGCAUGGAUUCGUGUCGUAUCGACGUUUCGGGAAAGCUCGGUCGCUACAUAACGACCGCGCGGGACGCGUGCUCGGUCGCGAGCUCGGUCGCUACGUAGCAACCGAGCAGGACACGUGCUCGGUCGCUACGUAGCGACCGAGCAGGGUGCAUGCUUGGUCGUUGCGUAGCCAUCGUUCUUGGCUUGUCUGUGGUCCGAUGGCCAUACUUGAGCUUGUCCGUGGCCGAUUUGGAUACAUGUAUGUUACCUUCGGACAAUCGGUAUUUAGUGGUUCGAUUGAGAUUUGAACAAUAUUUUACUGCAAGGCUCUUCGUAAAGAUUUCUUUAUGAAGAUUACUUUUCGUAAAAACGUUCAUGCUGAUUUUUACGGACUUUCAGAUAUUGAUUCCGUCGUGACCGAUUUUGACCCCAACAGUUAGCCCCCCAGCUCGUUAAAACCAUGAGCUUCUAGCGUGAGGUUGUAGCGAGUGGCUUGGCAAGUUAGGCAAGUUAGGUGAGUUAGGCAGAAUUAAUGGUUGAAAAGGUCCGUGGUAAGGGGUCUUCUCGCUCUUCUUAAAGUAGAACGCGAUAAGAUUGGGGCUGCGCCUUAUGACGGGUGCCUACGUACCCUUGUUGAAGGGAUCAAGCCUUUCGUAGUUCGUCUUGGAGUUAAGGUUCUUAUGACUAGUUUUCUAGCGAGACCUUUGCGGUCUAGUUUAUAUGUAGAGGUUAUCAGGCGUGUUUCUGCAGAUGGCAUUUUAUAUGGGUGUAGAAGGAAGACUCUGAGUUAUCAUCUUGUAAUCUAACUCUGUGUGAACUGCUAUAUCCGUGAUCUGUUUCGAGAGUUUUCCUUAGUUUGUAAACUUGCGGAAUUUCUGAAGACGCUCGAAUAUACAAAGAGACAAAUUUUGGGAUCUCGUAUCAGGGUGUUUGAUACUAUGCCUAGAGAUGUUAGAGACCAGUGCGUUGGGUUUAGGGCAAGACCUAGGUUUACUCCUGGUUUUAGAGGGGGCGAUGACUAAUUCGACUUACGUAUCCCGUUUCAGUUUCAUCCUGAUUCCAUACCGAUUUAGAGUCCGCGAUAGGUUCUCGGCUUAUACGACUUGUAUGGUUGGAACUGAGCAUCUCUCCAAGGACAAUUUUUAAGCCUCCUAGAAGUGCUGACCAAAAAUUUUGGAUUUCUUUUAUAGUGCUAUUAUCCUUGUGUCCGAUGUACGAAAGUCAUCUCUACGAGAUGGCUAAGUCUGUUUAGGACGUUAAGAGUUUGUUGUGAUCAGCAACAAACUUAAUGGUAAAAAUUACCAUUUCGAGUCUUCGCAAAGGACAUGUUUUGAGAAGAUGUUAGUGCGUAUGACUGUCUGGUCUUCCAAGAAGAUGUUUUAUCGAGGAAGGAAAUUUCAUCGAAGAAUGAAUCUUUAGGCUUCUGCGACGUCUCGCAAUGCUAAAUAUUUGUUAUUCUUUCGUAUGCCGUGUUUCGUGCUUGAAAUGUUCGCGCGCUUAAAAAUGGUUUGCGAUGUUGCAUGGGUUUAGUCUUAGCCCUGCGUUUGAGAAACAUUCUGAUUUGACUACGGAUGUUCGCAGCCAAAAUUGUUGUUCCUGUUUGGAUGCUAAUAACUUGAUUUACGAUCGAGGAAUUAGGACUGAGGUGUCGCGUAAAUUUGUCCAUGGGAAGAAGCCUUUUCCUUCAUAGUGCUUUGUGAAGUGUUGGCCUUCCGAGAUCUAUUUCGUGCAUUUUGAGGAUGUUUCGUAUAGCUGUAGAAGCUUUGUUACGAAUUUUUCCUUACAUGCCGCAUAUUAUGGGUAAAACGUUGCGGGGUUAAAUUGAAUUGUGGAGCGUAUUGAACUUGGUCAAUUUUCGAAAAGUUUAGAUUUUUCGUUAACCAUUUGUUGUUAGGACUGAGUUUCGUUACGAAGAAUUUAUCAUAUGACUUCCGACUAUGAGCUAUACGAUAAUUUUUCUCUUAAUAGUCACACGACGUUUUUAGACAAAUCAUAGAUUGUCGUUUAGCCGUUAAGUGGUAGAGCAAUGGUUUCUCAAAUAAUUUGGCUUGACGUGAGGGAUGUGUUCACUCAGGUAGCCAAAGAUGUUGUAGGUCAAGGAUUAUACCAUGGUACUUUAACAUUUAAGGCCAUUUUAGUUUACGAUCAUCCUUAAAGGGGAUGGCAAAUAUUGGUUUGGACCUUUAGUGGAAGGCGUAAUUGACCGAGGGCCAAAGAGCGCUUGUCGAGAUUGAUAGGCCAAUUUUCCUGGGGUUAUCCAUGCUAAUAUGGCCGAUAGUCGUAGAAAACGAUUAUCCGCUCUAGGUUUCAGUUAUACAAUGAAUAUUUCGUAUAAUGUGGCAUAUAGUCUUAUGAAAAUCGAAUAUUUUUUGCCUGAGGAAAACGAAGCCCAAGAGGUUUGCUACAUAACCAGUGUGGAGUCAGCGGCGGGACGACUGCCUUCUCGGAUGUGACCGAGGGAAAAGAAAAGCAGAUGCCAGUGAGCCGUAGGGUUCUUCAUAAAGCCUGUUAUGUUAACUUUAGAAAGUUUCUUCGUAAGACAUAGUCAGAUUGAACGAAGGAUUUUGUGCGUAAGUAACGGGGACUGGUUUUAUGAAGGUUGUAAAUCGGUGAUAUGUAUACAUAUGCUAAAGUAGAGUUGUUUCUACAGGUUUUACGAGAAACGUUUCUGCUGUGAUUUCGAUCUUAGGUGAAAGUUGCUUGGAGUUACUCAUGGAGUGUUACCGAAUUUUAUUUCAUUACGAUCUAGUCGCAGAAAGUUUUUCAUAGGUUUUAUGAGAGGAUUCUCAUGAUACAUUCGUUUAUGGAAUGAAUUAGUCAACCAGAGGUGGAUCUAGCCACCAUCGGGAGGAAAGUAUUCCUUUUAAUGUGCACGAUGCUACAUCUAUUUUUGAGUUUUCUUCGUCACAACUGUUUUUGAUGCUUUUCCGUGACUCACUUGGUACAACGGAAACUGAAAGAAAUGCUUUGGUGAUUGAAGAUUUCUCGUAGAAAUUUUUAAACGAAACUGGCUUUCUAAAACCGGAAAGGGCUUCAAUACUUUGGCUAAUCGUCAAGUUUCAGUUUGAUAUUGGUACAGGUUUUUUGUACGCAUGAUUGCGACAAGAAAUGAUGUAUAGUCUUUGAGAUUAUGUUCAUGAUCGUCUGGAUAUGUUGCUAGCGUUUAGACGAAUUUUAGAUUUUCGUUUGCCUAUUUGAGACGAUUUGCUUUGACAAAAUCGUUUUCUUGACGAUUUGCAAAGGUUUUUGAAGUUUGGGAGUAUACGAGUAUAGUAUACGUACCUACUCCCCAUUUUUUUUUAUUUUUUUUUUACGGAAGAAAACGGUUGAACCGAUACUUUGAAGUGUUGUGUAGGUUUCUUCUUCUGAGGUUUGGAAUGGUCAAUAAUUCGGGAUGAUUUAAAGAUGACGCUUGGUCUGUGAUUUGGUUGUGUCCACGUUGACGACUUGGAAUAUGUCGGUUCCAAGAAAAUUGCCAGAAACGAAUUGGUUUUAAGACGACGUUCAUAUCUCUAGUUUUUUUCUCCUUAGGAAGCGAGCUUUAUAUGCGUCGUGAUCGUUUCUCGAUUUUCGGAGAGUUUAGAUCGAUUUGCAAGAUCUGGAUGAACAGUUAUGGAACAAUAUAUCGAGAUAGGAAAAAUCGCCUAAGACAUAGUUCGCUAGACUAUUCUCCUAGGUUUUACGUUCCUUAAAGUUCUAUGGCGGUUUCAAAUGCGUUUUUAUUUCUUAGUAAUUUCCUACAAAAAUUCCAAGUGAUUUCAAAAAUUUCAAGUCGGAAAUACCUUAGUUAUCUCGACAGUUUUCUCUCUUCUUAGUUUUGCUUGCUCAUUUCCCCUUCCUCUUCUCGUGUAUGUUCGCCAUUUUCGAUAUUGGUGUUUAUCCUUUGAAACUUGACAUUUAUCUUCCGAACUUGACAGUUAUCUUCUCCUUAGAUACGACGUCAAUUUUAUAAAAAAAUUCAACGUAAUCGUAUAGUUGAGGCGGCUAAGAUGUUAAGUUAACCGUUGUCGUUUUAUACGAUUAAUCUGAAUCCAUGCGAGAAAACAAGUCUUUACGGUUUUUUUUUUCGUAAAGUUUCAAUGGUAACACAUCCAUGCUAGACGUUUCGAUCGAGAUUUUGAAGGAGAACACAAAGAUGGAGGUAAGGGCGAGUUGGAGCAAGCGAAGGAGUUUAGACGAGUCUUACUUGUUUUCGUCGUAAAAUCUCAACGGAAACUUCGAUUGAGACAAAACGAAAAGCGUUUUAAUCGGGAUUCAAAAGAGAACACAAAGAAGGAGCUUUUUGAGGUCUGACAGAUCGCUAUGUAGCGAUCUGGAGGUCUGACAGGUCGCUAUGUAGCAAGUUGAAGUAAGCCAAGAAGAGUCUACUUGUUUUCGUCGUAAAAUCUUAAUCGGAGUUUUAAAAUCUCAACGGAAACUCCGAUUGAGACGAAACGAAAAGCGCUUCAAUGAGGAUUCAAAAUAGAACACAAAGGACGACCUUUCUGAGGCCUGACAGGUUGCUAUGUAGCGAGUGGAGGUCUGACAGGUCGCUACGUAGCGAGUAGAAGCAAACCAACAAGAGUCCUACUUGUUUUCGUCGUAAUAUCUCAACAGAAACUCCGAUUGAGACGAACCGAAAAGUGUUUCGAUGAGAAUUAGAAAGAGAACGCAAAGGAGAACCUUUCUUAGGCCUGACAGGUCGCUAUGUAGCGAGUGGAGGUCUGAAAGGUCGCUAUGUCGCGAGUUGAAGUAACCCGAGAAGAGUCCUACUUGUUUUCGUCGUAAAAUCUCAACGGAAACUCCGAUUGAGACGAAAAGAAAAGCGCUUCAAUGAGGAUUCAAAAGAGAACACAAAGGAAGACCUUUCUGAGGCCUGACAGGUCGCUAUGUAGCGAGUGGAGGUCUGACAGGUCACUACGUAGCGAGUAGAAGCUAACCAACAAGAGUCCUACUUGUUUUCGUCGUAAAAUCUCAACGAAAACUCCGAUUGAGACGAAACAAAAAGUGUUUCGAUGAGGGUUCAAAAGAGAACGCAAAGGAAGACCUUUCUGAGGCCUGACAGGUCGGUAUGUAGCGAGUGGAGGUCUGACAGGUCACUACAUAGCGAGUAGAAGCAAACCAAGAAGAGUCCUACUUGUUUUCGUCGUAAAAUCUCAACGGCAACUCCUAUUGAGACAAAACGAAAAUCAUUUCGAUGAGGAUUCAAAAGAGAACACAAAGGAGGACCUUUCUGAGGCCUGACAGGUCGCUAUGUAGCGAGUGAAGGUCUGAUAGGUCGCUACGUAGCGAGUAGAAGCAAGCAAACAAGAGUCCUACUUGUUUUCGUCGUAAAAUCUCAACGGAAACUCCGAUUGAGACGAAACGAAAAGCGUUUCGAUGAGGAUUCAAACGCGAACGUAGAGGAGGACCUUCUGAAGCCUUACAGUUCGCUACAUAGCGAGUGGAGAGUUGGCUUGAGCUAGGUCGCUACGUAACGACCGAGCCGUGUACUUGCUCGGUCGCUACGUAGCGACUGAGCCAUGUGCGUGCGCGGUUGCUACGUAGCGACCGAGCUGUGUGCGUGCUCGGUCGCUACGUAGCGACCGAGCGGUAUGCGUGCUCAGGCGCUACAUAGCUACCGAGCCGUGUGCGUGCUCGGUCUCUAUGUAGCAACCGAGCUAUGUAAUUGAUUUGUUGCGCUUCCUUUUUCCGCGAUUAACCUAGGGGUUUUCUGCGGUUUUUGGGAGAACCAGUUUUAACUUUCCGAAAUAUUUUCGGAAAACGUGUUUUGGUAAAAUCUUUACGCAAUGAGAUUUCUUUUGUUCGGUAAUGAGCCAAGCUUAUGGGGUUUGAUAAGAUUUAUCGUUUCCCUUUAUGUUUAGAAAGAGAAAUCGCGAGCUCGUUUCAUUGCACUUCCUGUGGCAAAAAGUCGCAGCAAGGUUUUCAAUUUUCUCAAGAUCUGUGGCGUUUGCGUAGGCGUUGGCCAUAGGCGCAGUGGCGGCUGAGGUUCUCUUACCAGCGUUAUUGCGAACUGCGAGUUUUGUCUUUCGUAUUUCCAGACAUUGUUUUGAUCAAGCGUUUUGUGGCUGAGAGUUAGAUUGAUCCGUACCCCCUCCUAGCGCCAAACUGUUGGAACCGAAAUUCGCAUUGACGAUUUCCGUUUAAAUAAGGAAAAUAGGAGAACCAUAAUUUCCCAGAGGUCUCGGAUAUCUGCUAAUGCCACAAACCAAGCAAUAAGAACACGAAAUAAAGACGAGAAAACAUAAUAAAUCGAAAAGAGAGCAAAGUAUAUCUUAUUCCGAAUUCGCGUUUGAGCGUUACAACAAGGUAAGAGCCUGGGCUAUGAGAGCUGUCGGCGAGAUUCCUAGUUCUAAAACCCAAAGACGGCAACAACCUAAUUGAGUCGCAGCUCGAAUAAC